rnacentral:rRNA from 1 species
UGCAGUCGAGCGAACAGACGAGGAGCUUGCUCCUCUGACGUUAGCGGCGGACGGGUGAGUAACACGUGGAUAACCUACCUAUAAGACUGGGAUAACUUCGGGAAACCGGAGCUAAUACCGGAUAACAUGUUGAACCGCAUGGUUCAACAGUGAAAGACGGUCUUGCUGUCACUUAUAGAUGGAUCCGCGCCGCAUUAGCUAGUUGGUAAGGUAACGGCUUACCAAGGCAACGAUGCGUAGCCGACCUGAGAGGGUGAUCGGCCACACUGGAACUGAGACACGGUCCAGACUCCUACGGGAGGCAGCAGUAGGGAAUCUUCCGCAAUGGGCGAAAGCCUGACGGAGCAACGCCGCGUGAGUGAAGAAGGUCUUCGGAUCGUAAAACUCUGUUAUUAGGGAAGAACAAAUGUGUAAGUAACUAUGCACGUCUUGACGGUACCUAAUCAGAAAGCCACGGCUAACUACGUGCCAGCAGCCGCGGUAAUACGUAGGUGGCAAGCGUUAUCCGGAAUUAUUGGGCGUAAAGCGCGCGUAGGCGGUUUUUUAAGUCUGAUGUGAAAGCCCACGGCUCAACCGUGGAGGGUCAUUGGAAACUGGAAAACUUGAGUGCAGAAGAGGAAAGUGGAAUUCCAUGUGUAGCGGUGAAAUGCGCAGAGAUAUGGAGGAACACCAGUGGCGAAGGCGACUUUCUGGUCUGUAACUGACGCUGAUGUGCGAAAGCGUGGGGAUCAAACAGGAUUAGAUACCCUGGUAGUCCACGCCGUAAACGAUGAGUGCUA